UACUCGUAUUGUCGACGCGGUCUCAAUGGACAUAAUACUACACCGUGACUUUGUAUUGAACACAAUCUAAGCGUAGGUUGAAUUUGAACUAUUUAAAUACUUAUUUCUCUAGCAGGAUUCCGUUGUAUUAUUUAUUCACAUUUACAAUAAAACCAGGUACACACAUGAAUGUGUUUUAACGGACUACCGGCUAAAACCUUUCUUGCGACACAUGUUAGGAGAACUGAGCGAUCCCCUUGCUCCUCAAGCUGUUGAGAAUAUCUACAAUAAGUGAAUUUAAAAAAAAAACAACAAACAACCGUUUUCCAAGCAGAAGGGUUACAUAGAGUUCAUUUAAAGACACAAUGAAAUUGUUAUUAGUGAUACUGCUUACAUCUAUAACUACUGCAUAUUCAAUACCAAAUCUUACAAACAAUCGUGAUAAAGAACUUAAAGAUGUGAACGAUCGUAAAGUGGAUAUAAUUAAACGAUUAAUACGAGCUUUAUCAAUCCCGAAAAAAGAUAUAAUUAAAGUUGAGGAGCUGGACGAAGAGGCUUCAAUUCGUGAAAAAAGAUGGAAUCGACAAAUGUUCGGAUGCCAGUGUUCAGGAUUCCGUGUUGGAUGUAGAAGCACCAAAUUUUGCAAAUAUAGACAUGGGGAGGAUUUUUACUGUGUUAAGGACUGUUGUGGCCUACAAUGUACCCAAAAAUACUAAAAUAAUGUUACAAUAAAUUCUGCUUGUUUGUUAUUACACGAUAAAGAUCGGGGGCUUUAUUAUGAUUUCAUUGUGCUCAUUCCAAACAUAAUCCGUGAUAUAAUCCAGGGAUAAGGAUUAACUGUAUAUACGCUCUAUAGAUUUUUACUAACCGUGAAUUAUUUAUUAGUUAUGUAUCCACUAGAGACUUCUAUUCAUCAAACAAAUUCCGUAUCUCAAUUUUAGCGGGAAAUGUAUUUUGUAAACUAAGCGUUUUAGGCCACACAUAAACUCUUAGAGAUAUUUACAAGAGGAAAAAAACACGUACAGCAUGUAUAACAUAACGUCUGAAGUGGGAUAUUUAUUCGACUUUUUGGAACCACGGUGGCUCAGUGAGUAUGUCUCUGACUCACUAACUGCUUUACCCUUUUCAGUGGUGCACCGCGAAGAGCCUGACAAGGAACGGUGCCCAAUCAGACGGAUGGAAAGAAAAACCACGGUCCACCCCCGUGACGGUUGAAAUUCAAUGAGAAGUAAAAACAAAUCCCACAUAGCACAUUGCAGGCGUAUGUCCGACUUUAUUUAUUUUCAUCUCAAGAUUCCACUUCGGAGGUGUUAUCUGCUUAUUUAUACGUAUAGAAAUUAUGUCAGGUCAGACCGGCUUUGAUCUUGGAAAUUCGGUUAAAUGUAAUGCCUGUUUUCAAUAGCUAAAAAAAAUUUGAUCAGAACUGCCUGCAUACACCAAAAAAUCCGUUUGCUUUCUUGCAACGUCUGUAUAGUUUGUCUUAUCCACAGGUUUGUCGUAUAGCUUUUGUUAUGUGUGUAGUGCGGUUCUCCUGUACUUACUACUACUAUAAAUAACAAUUGGCCUUUUCUUUGAAUCUAAAUCAAAACGGUUCUGCACCUACAAGUGCUAUUAUAAUAAGGAGUGUCACAUUCCAAAAAACGGAAAAAUAAAUCUAUUUAUUAUUUAUA